AGUGUAUUAGUUUAAUGGUAGAACCUGGUGCUACGGACAUUAAGGUAUGAGUUCGAAUCUUAUAUACACUG
rfam:Pestalotiopsis fici W106-1 unplaced genomic scaffold PFICI_Scf_20, whole genome shotgun sequence.